CAAAAACAUGUCUUUUUGAGUUAUUUUUAAAGUNUAACCUGCCCAAUGAAAAAUUUUUAAUGGCCGCAGUAAUUUGACUGUGCAAAGGUAGCAUAAUAAUUAGUCUUUUAAUUGAAGGCUUGUAUGAAUGGUUGGACGAAGUAUAAUCUGUUUCAUUUAAAUUUAUUAUAGAAUUUUAUAUUUUAGUAAAAAAGCUAAAAUUUUUUUAAAAGACGAGAAGACCCUAUAAAUCUUUAUAAUUUAUAUUUAUUUUUCUGUUUUUGAUUUAUUUUAUUUUAAUAAUUUAGAUUAUUUUAUUGGGGUGAUAUUAAAAUUUAAAUAACUUUUAAUUUUUUUUUUACAUUAAUUUAUGAUUUAUUGAUCCAUUAAUAAUGAUUAAAAGAAUAAGUUACUUUAGGGAUAACAGCGUAAUUUUUUUGGAGAGUUCUUAUUGAUAAAAAAGUUUGCGACCUCGAUGUUGGAUUAAGAUAUAUUUUAGGUGUAGUUGCUUAAAUAAUAAGUCUGUUCGACUUUUAAAUUCUUACAUGAUCUGAGUUCAAACCGGA
rnacentral:rRNA from 1 species